AUCUAGCUGACUUGUCCCGAAUUGGACGAAACGCGCGUCCUGGAC
rnacentral:hammerhead_ribozyme from 1 species